rnacentral:rRNA from 1 species
ACCUGCAAGUCGAACGGCAGCAUGAUCUAGCUUGCUAGAUUGAUGGCGAGUGGCGAACGGGUGAGUAAUACAUCGGAACGUGCCCUGUAGUGGGGGAUAACUAGUCGAAAGAUUAGCUAAUACCGCAUACGACCUGAGGGUGAAAGUGGGGGACCGCAAGGCCUCAUGCUAUAGGAGCGGCCGAUGUCUGAUUAGCUAGUUGGUGGGGUAAAGGCCCACCAAGGCGACGAUCAGUAGCUGGUCUGAGAGGACGAUCAGCCACACUGGGACUGAGACACGGCCCAGACUCCUACGGGAGGCAGCAGUGGGGAAUUUUGGACAAUGGGCGAAAGCCUGAUCCAGCAAUGCCGCGUGUGUGAAGAAGGCCUUCGGGUUGUAAAGCACUUUUGUCCGGAAAGAAAUGGCUCUGGUUAAUACCUGGGGUCGAUGACGGUACCGGAAGAAUAAGGACCGGCUAACUACGUGCCAGCAGCCGCGGUAAUACGUAGGGUCCAAGCGUUAAUCGGAAUUACUGGGCGUAAAGCGUGCGCAGGCGGUUGUGCAAGACCGAUGUGAAAUCCCCGAGCUUAACUUGGGAAUUGCAUUGGUGACUGCACGGCUAGAGUGUGUCAGAGGGGGGUAGAAUUCCACGUGUAGCAGUGAAAUGCGUAGAGAUGUGGAGGAAUACCGAUGGCGAAGGCAGCCCCCUGGGAUAACACUGACGCUCAUGCGUA